GCUCAUGGCUUUCACUGGUAUUGGUUUAUUUCUGUCUGGACUCAUAGGAUUCAUCUGUCUGUGCCGCUUUACCAGUUCUGCUGAUGUUCUCACAGAACUGAACUACAUCUCCUGCCAGAUGGAAACAACAUCUCUUUUAACUUCCUCUGUGUGCUCCUCAAAACAUGAAUGACUUGUUUACUUUCUUCACUUGUUGCCUUUAAACACAAAAAAUGAUAUGUACAGAAAGAUAAUACAGUAUUUAGCUACUGAAUUUAUAUACUGAUCAGCAGACCACACAGAAUCUGUGGAGCUUUUUUUCCCCACAUUUUGAUUUUGGGAGAAAAUAGAUUUUUUUUUAUGGGUAAAAUGUGUUAAAUGUAGGUGAAAGUCAUCUGUGGAGUUAAGAUGCAGAUUCAUUACAAGAUCAGAGAUCGGUACAGAUCUGAGGCUUAAGAAAUAUAAAAUCUAAUUUAUGUCAUUUUUUUGUAUUUUAUUUUUUUAUCAACAAUUGUAACAUAUACAUGUACAAGAGUACAUGUAUAAUAAAGUUGCAGCAUGGUAUAAACAAUUUCAUAAAAUUUGCAUAAUGCCUUUAAUUUGUAAUAUUUUCAGUUUCAGUUGUCUGAUCAAAGAGCAACUGACCGCUUGACAUUGUCUGCAUGUUUUAUGCAUUAAUGAGCAAACGUGUACCUAAUAAAGAGACUACAAGGUGAAUAAUGUAUUCCACAUUCUUAAUUUUGUUAUUAUGAUCUUAUGUUUUUCAAGUGUAUUAAUGGUACAGAUGUUUUUGGCACAUUUAUGUGUUACUUUUACAAAACUACCUUCCUUCUUUUAGUCUUUGCCCCAGAUCUGUCGUCUGUUAAAGUGAAUAUAGCUGUACAUGUGGUCUCACGAUCUGUGUUCAUCUUCAUAACUGGCUGUUCAAUGCAUUAAUAGUUUGUGGUCUGAUGUUCCACUUCCUUAUUCACCCAUUAUUAGAGUCUCAUUCUGUAUCUUCUCUCACACUCGCUGUUAUGGAGCUGUUCAUCUUCAUAGUUUUUCAGCUCCUGAUGGAGGUUCAGUCUCACCAAUUUCCUAGAGUAAAAGUAUCUCCAGAUGUCAUAAGAGAGUCCAGCGCAGUGAAGAUCAGCUGUGAGACAGAAACACAUGUUACAGCGAAUAAAUGUUAUUUCUACAUAAACAGAGAGGAGAAGAAAAUGAAAACCAGUCCAUCAUGUGAGCUGGAUCUCACUGGUGCUGAAGUGUUCAGAUGGGCAGCUGUAAAAUCACCUGAAUCACUCAACAUUAUCUGUUACUACACAAUGAUAAAUGUGCAAGGCUCAUUCAUAACAUCAUCUGAAUCUGAUCCUGCCACAGUGACAGUUCUAGUUUCAACAUCAACCACUACUGAAAAAACUACUUCAACAGCCAUGAAAACCUCAUUAACUGUAAUGUCCACUUCUGAAACUACAACAUACAGUAAAACUACAGACCUCCAAUUCAAGACAAACACGCCAAACAGUACGGCAAAGGAAACCAUGAGUAAGUUCAUCCACUCUUUCUCAAUGGUAAAAGUUACUAUGUAGAAUUAAUAUAAUUAAUAAUUCCUUACAUUUAUAUAGCGCUUUUCUGGGCACUCAAAGCACUUUACAUAGAAGGGGGUAUCUCCUCAAACAACCACCACCAUUCAAAAGUUAAAAUAUAGCUGGGAAUUAUUUUCAAAGCUUAUUGGUACAUCAGUAACUCAUAGUGGUAGUUCCUGAAUGAAAGCAGUAAACAUAGAGAAUACAACAAAGGCAAGUCUCAUGAUUAUGCUGCUGAACAGUAAAUGUCAGAAAAUAGUGAAGGCCAGAAUGACUUUUGCCCAGAUUUACAGUCUGGAUACAUUGAUGCUAGUUGGCUAAAGUCAGAACACAUUUGUUUCGACAGAUUUCAUAGGAAGUCAUGUAGUGUAUGAUGGUCACUUCAUUUUUUAGUUUCAGUCUGAGAAUGUCAAACAUGUUUGAUAUUUUUGAGCUGAUUUUAGAGCACAUAAGCUGUGUCCCAAUUCAGAGGCUGCAUCCUUGGAAGGACACAGAAUUUAAAGUCAUGUCUUCAAAGGCUAUGGAGGUGGGGCAGAGCGUUGUUAAAUGGGACUGUCUAGCCUACAAAGUAAAAACAGGUGUGAAUGGGGUCUGAAAUGUUUUGAUCCACUUUCAGAUGUAGUUGAAAAUGUAUUUGACCGGAUUGCUUUCAUAGUGUAAACACUCAUUCGGUCGAAUGCAAACCACCACUAAAGACAGCCUCCUCUCUUCCAACUGAUCUAAGUCUUAAACAUUAGAGGACGUGUUGUUGAAGCACGAUAAUAGAUGGGAUUUAAACUUUACAGACUGAAUUCAUACGUCUGGUUUGAAGGUGAAAAAAUGUCAAAAGCACAAUGUUCUCUUACCAGUCCUGAUUCAAACACAAACUAACACAAAAUAAAUUAUUUGAUCAUUACA
ensembl:lncRNA